AUUGAACGCUGGCGGCAGGCCUAACACAUGCAAGUCGAGCGGAUGAUGUGAGCUUGCUCCCAGAUUCAGCGGCGGACGGGUGAGUAAUGCCUAGGAAUCUGCCUGGUAGUGGGGGACAACGUCUCGAAAGUGACGCUAAUACCGCAUACGUCCUACGGGAGAAAGCAGGGGACAUUCGGGCCUUGCGCUAUCAGAUUAGCCUAGGUCGUAUUAGAUAGUUGGUGAGGUAAUGGCUCACCAAGGCGACGAUCCUUAACUGGUCUGAGAGGAUGAUCAGUCACACUGGAACUGAGACACGGUCCAGACUCCUACGGGACGCAUCAGUGGGGAAUAUUGGACAAUGGGCGAAAGCUUGAUCCAGCCAUGCCGCGUGUGUGAAGAAGGUCUUCGGAUUGUAAAGCACUUUAAGUUGGGAGGAAGGGUUGUACGUUAAUACCGUGCAAUUUUGACGUUCCCGACAGAAUAAGCACCGGCUAACUCUGUGCCAGCAGCCGCGGUAA
rnacentral:rRNA from 1 species